GAGUAAUUAACUCAAUUUGGUAGAGUAUCAUAUUUACACUAUGAAAGUUGGAAGUUCGAGUCUUUCAUUACUCA
rnacentral:tRNA from 1 species